UACGUAGGGCGCAAGCGUUGUCCGGAAUUAUUGGGCGUAAAGAGCUCGUAGGCGGUUUGUCGCGUCUGCUGUGAAAACUCGAGGCUCAACCUCGGGCUUGCAGUGGGUACGGGCAGACUAGAGUGCGGUAGGGGUGACUGGAAUUCCUGGUGUAGCGGUGGAAUGCGCAGAUAUCAGGAGGAGCACCGAUGGCGAAGGCAGGUCACUGGGCCGCAACUGACGCUGAGGAGCGAAAGCAUGGGGAGCGAACAGG
rnacentral:rRNA from 1 species